AGCACGGUGGUGCAGUGGGUAGCACUGUCGCCUCACAGCAAGAAGAUCCUGGGUUCGAAUCUCGGCCUUUCUG
rnacentral:tRNA from 1 species